GUUCAGGGUUAUCGGAUACUGGGCGUAAGGGCGCGUAGGUGGUCUGAUAAGUCGGAUGUGAAACUCCGGGGCUCAACCCCGGACUUGCAGGAGAUACUGGCAGACUAGAGAGUGGUAGAGGCAAGCGGAAUUCCUGGUGUAGCGGUGGAAUGCGUAGAUAUCAGGAAGAACACCUGUGGCGAAGGCGGCUUGCUGGGCCAUUUCUGACGCUCAUCUGCUAAAGC
rnacentral:rRNA from 1 species